UUCCUAUAUUCAAAAAGGGUUCAAAAUCCUUGCCUGGAAAUUAUAGACCUGUGAGCUUAACUUCUGUGGCUGGUAAAAUAUUUGAAAGGUUAUUAAGGGAUAAUAUUCAAGAAUUCCUUGAGAAGAACAUGGUUAUCAGCAAAAAUCAGCAUGGUUUUAUGAAGCACAGGUCAUGUCAAACUAACUUGAUUGCGUUCUACGAAGAAGUAAGUAGAAGUAUAGAUCAGGGUGUUGCCGUGGAUGUGAUCUAUUUGGAUUUUGCCAAGGCAUUUGAUACAGUUACACACAAUAGAUUAGUGUUCAAACUCAAGGAAAUCGGUCUAGAUGAAAAUGCUUGUUCUUGGGUAGAACAUUGGCUUAAAAACAGAGUACAAAGAAUUGUCAUUAAUGGUAUAUUUUCAAGCUGGACAGAGGUGACAAGUGGUGUCCCUCAGGGGUCUGUUCUGGGACCACUUCUAUUUAACAUGUUUAUAAAUGAUCUUGAAGACCGCAUUGAAAGUCAUGUUUCAGUGUUUGCAGAUGACACCAAACUUUGUAAAAUAAUACAAUGUGAGCAAGAUAUUAAUUUGCUGCAGAGGGAUUUAGAUAGACUGGGGGACUGGGCACUCAAAUGGCAGAUUAAAUUUAAUGUUGAAAAAUGCAAAGUUAUGCACUUCGGCGUAAAGAAUACACAAGCAACGUAUACCCUUAAUGGAAGCGAAUUAGGGAUAACAACACAUGAAAAUGACUUAGG